GUUUGAUUCCUGAUGAUGAGAAGCAUUAAGCAAUGCUUAUAAAACUGUAGUCAUAGAUCCACCUUAAAUCUGGCAACGCCUGUAUUUCCUUUUAAAAUUCUGCCGCGGUAGAAAGUUUGAGCAAUAGGUUUACGUGAUAGAUUUAACCAUUUCCUGACGUUAGCGCAUGCUAUGCUGUCCUACAAAAAGAAGGCCACUGUUAGUGCAUGCUAUGCCCUCCCUCCAGCCUGGAUACUUACCCUGUGUUCCAAUUGUGAUCAGGGGACCUGUCU